AUACGUAGGUGGCAAGCGUUAUCCGGAAUUAUUGGGCGUAAAGGGUGCGUAGGCGGUUGAUUAAGUUUUAGGUGAAAGCGUGGGGCUCAACUCCAUACAGCCUAAGAAACUGGUCAACUAGAGUGCAGAAGAGGGUAGUGGAAUUCCAUGUGUAGCGGUAAAAUGCGUAGAUAUAUGGAGGAACACCAGUAGCGAAGGCGGCUUUCUGGACUGUAACUGACACUGAGGCACGAAAGCGUGGGGAGC
rnacentral:rRNA from 1 species